CAGCCGCCGCGGUAAUACGUAGGGAGCGAGCGUUGUCCGGAAUUACUGGGCGUAAAGGGCGUGUAGGCGGCGAUGCAAGUCUCAUGUGAAAGCCCCGGGCUCAACCCGGGAAGAGCAUGGGAAACUGUGUGGCUUGAGUGAGGUAGAGGAUCGUGGAAUUCCUAGUGUAGCGGUAAAAUGCAUAGAUAUUAGGAGGAACACCGGUGGCGAAGGCGACGGUCUGGGCCUUAACUGACGCUGAGGCGCGAAAGCGUGGGUAGCAAACAGGAUUAGAUACCCUGGUAGUCCACGCCGUAAACGAUGUAUGCUAGGUGUAGGGGGUAUCGACCCCCUCUGUGCCGCAGUUAACGCAAUAAGCAUACCGCCUGGGGAGUACGGCCGCAAGGUUGAAACUCAAAGGAAUUGGCGGGUCCCCGCACAAGCAGCGGAGCAUGUUGUUUAAUUCGAAGCAACGCGAAAAACCUUACCAGGGCUUGACAUCCAACGGACCGGCGCGAAAGCGCGGGGUGCUCCUUCGGGAGAACGUUGAGACAGGUGGUGCAUGGCC
rnacentral:rRNA from 1 species